AAGCCUGAUGCAGCAACGCCGCGUGAACGAUGAAGGUCUUCGGAUCGUAAAGUUCUGUUGCAGGGGAAGAUAAUGACGGUACCCUGUGAGGAAGCCCCGGCUAACUACGUGCCAGCAGCCGCGGUAAUACGUAGGGGGCUAGCGUUAUCCGGAUUUACUGGGCGUAAAGGGUGCGUAGGUGGUCCUUCAAGUCGGUGGUUAAAGGCUACGGCUCAACCGUAGUAAGCCGCCGAAACUGGAGGACUUGAGUGCAGGAGAGGAAAGUGGAAUUCCCAGUGUAGCGGUGAAAUGCGUAGAUAUUGGGAGGAACACCAGUAGCGAAGGCGGCUUUCUGGACUGCAACUGACACUGAGGCACGAAAGCGUGGGUAGCAAACACGAUUAGAUACCCUGGUAGUCCACGCUGUAAACGAUGAGUACUAGGUGUCGGGGUUACCCCCCUCGGUGCCGCAGCUACGCAUGAGUACUCCGCCUGGGGGAGUACGCACGCAGUGUGAAACUCAAAGGAAUUGACGGGGACCCGCACAAUAGCGGAGCAUGUGGU
rnacentral:rRNA from 1 species